GGUGGUAUGCACCUUAUACACUGGUUAUAUUUCGUCUUUAAAUGAAAAGAAGAAGUGGAGCAGUUGCUCUGUGAUCCGCCAUUAAACGCAUAGCAGACGAAAAAGUGGUUUAAGUUAUUGUUCGACUGAACAGUAGAAUGGGGAAGGCGUCUGAUCUAAGCGAUUUUGAUCGUGGUACGAUUGUUGGUGCCAGGCGUGGUGGCGCCAGUGUCUCAGAAACAGCUGCCCUCUUGGGAUUUUCAUGCACUACCGUCUCUAGAGUGUACAGAGAAUGGAGCCAAAAACAAAAAACAUCCAGUCAGCGGAAGCUUUGUGGGCGAAAACGCCUUGUUAAUGAGACAGGUGAGAAGAUAAUCGAUACAAUCAUUAAAGCUGAUAGAAUGGCCACCCAUGCUGAAAUAACAGCUAUUUACAACAGUAGUGUGCAAAAGAGCAUCUCUAAACAUACAACGCGCCGAAUCUUGAAGCGGAUGGGCUACAAGAAGACCGUGCCAGCUUCCACCUCUGCUAAGAACAGGAAGGUCCCAGCGCAGAGCUGCUGUCAUGAGAUGGAAAAGUGUCCAGAGAAAUGUACACCAGAAGUGCUGUUGCAGACCAGCUGAAGCAUGCACCAGGAAGAAGUGGGGCUCGGGCUAUAGGAAAGGAAAAUAACUUUGAAUAAGCUUCUACAGUAUGUGCUCCCCAUUUAAAAUAGAACAUUUAGUCAUUAUCUACUUGUCAGUCAAAACACACAAUGAGUUAUCUAAAUAUUAAAAUAAACAAAUAAAGCUUGUUUGAACUGUACAUUUGAUGAAACUAUGCUACCUGACAAAUGUAUAAUAUGCUAUAAUUAUUUCUAAAUGAAAAAGUACAGUGCCCUUAAAAAAAAAAACGAAAAAAAAAAAUGCUAAUUUAAAAA